CAAUAGACACAAUUGACGCUGAUGAUGCGAGCCGCAAACACGAAGAUACUUGAGCUGUGCGUUUUUUAAAAUACGUCACUUUGAUUAAUGAAUGCCGGAGAUUUUGAAAAACUAAAACAAUAACAACAUUAACGAGUGGAUAUUUCAAACAGUUGUGUACAUUUUUUUUUAAAUUUUUUAUUUAUUUUGGCAGCUAACAAGAAAUGCGCAGGAGCGCCGACAAGGCAUGUGGCGUAGUGUGGAAAAAAAUCGAACAUUACCGAAAUGCUGAAAUGUUUUCAUUGUAGGUUUCUCAUAAUGUCAACAAUGUGUGUGUUAUAAAGCAGACAGGGUCAAAACAGGCUGUAAUAAAAAGAACCACUCUUAUCUGGACUUUACGUCCAGAGUUCAAAAUCUAUUUUCUAAAACAUGGAGAUUUAUGAACUUUUGAAGUCACAGACACCACCAUAAUCUAAGCUUUAUUUCCUGGAAUCAAAAUCUGUCCACUAAAACAAUCAGAUAGCUGGGUAUACAUCCAGACACCACCAUAAUGAACUGUUGAGAUUACAUCUUCAUCCUAACCUGCUAUUCCGAGGUUGAUGGGAUUUUGAGAUCUCAGAUGAAAAGGUUUUCAUAUUUCUUUGCCUCCGAGAAACCAGAUUGAUUUCAAAUAAAUAGAACUAAGUAAGAGAGAUAUUACAAAUGGAGCUAUGCAGAAUUAUUUCCUUUCUCCAGCAAGUAAAAAUAUGGAUACACAUCAGUAGCUACGAUCAUGCUAAUGACGCCUUCCACAGCUUAUCGAAGGUCAAUUGAUUACACUUUUUAUUUUUUGGUUUGCUGCGAAGAUCAAACGAUGUUGACUUCGAUAGGAAUGGCAAAAAUGUCUUGGAACAAGAAACAGAGAAUCGUAAGCAUGUAAUUUCGUAUGGAGUUCAAUGUUUACAUACAUUUUGACAGUGCAAAGAUCCUAUUUCGAAACAAGAAUGUGAAAAUCUAAGACCUCCCUUCAAAGGAGGCUCUAUUUCUUUGUCAACUAUCAUCGUGCAAAUGAAUUUCCUACAAGGCCUGAUUGCUUAUAUAUAACAAAUCCAAUAAUUUAUGCCAUAUGUGUUGGUGGCAACAGCAGUUAUGACAGGCCAGACAAAGAAAUGCUCGCUGUUGCAAGCAUAAGAAAACUAAAACUGCAAUUGAAAUCUGAAAAACUGCAGAAACACACACAAAAAAGAAUCGAAUUCUAAAAGCCAAACAAAAUUUUAUUAAUACAAGUAAAUAAAUGCGUGUUUACAGAUGCAGAUGUUUAUAUGUAAUUUCGCUUGGAUUUAUCUAAAGCACAAAGAAAUAUGACGUCCAUUAAAGAAAUUAGUUUGGCCGGCAAAACAUAAAGCCGAUGAGCAUAGAAAAAACUCUAAGAGGUAGAAGCAACAAAAAACGACUUUUGAUCAGCAAAAAAGAAGAGCCGAGAAAAUUCCAUUCACAUAACUGUUAAAAUAUAUAUUUAUGCAUAGAAAUAUUACAUUUCGAUAGCGUUGUAAAUAAAUAAAGGAAUUUGCAGCGCCAAGGGUGUGGACUUAUUUGGCUGUGUGUGGGCUCAUUGCCUGCCAAAGCAACAAUAAAGAUAUUCUAGAAUCAUAUUUUUCUUUAUCAUGCAUAAAAUAUGAGUAAAUACAUAUGUACAUACCAAUGUA